ensembl:lncRNA
CUGCCUACCGAAAAUAGCACUAGGAUGGUGAACGGCAGAUCAUAUGGCUUCCAGAAGUAGCAUCAUAUGCAGACAAAAAAUGUCAGCAGUGCUGACUUGGUGCACAUAGUUUGCAGCUAGCUAUGCUCUGAGAAGAGCAUGGCAGUGAGACCUGAAGCUUGAAUUUUGGCUAUCUCUGACUGUUUUGCGGGCAAAAUAACUGUGGUUAUUACUCUCCUGUGAAGAAACCAUUCUAUAUUUGCCUAUCACAGGAACAAGAGUUUCAUCCACAGUUGCUGAAUUUUUCAAAGUGAAGGAAAAAGGACAUUAGGAAUAAUUUGGGCCUUUGAGACCAUGUCCCUUACCCCCCGCCAAAGUGUCAAGACUCACAUCUUUAAUUCAACAAUCUUUGUAUUAAUUACCUCUGGAUAAGAGAUGGGAGGAUUGAAACUGAAGAGGACUUGAACAAGACUGGCUGUAGGGCUUGGAAAGCUGCAGGCAAUGUGGGAACACAACUUGUGUCCCUGACUCCUCCCAGAAGAUGACUGGCCAUCCUUCACCUUAUUGUAACGGAGAUACUCAGUUGUGUUUGGAGGCUGGGACCUGUGUGCUCAAGAG